rnacentral:lncRNA from 1 species
CACUGUCAGACCAAGUCACCAUCAGCCUCUCAUCUGAACUGCCAGUUGUUGUUGAGUACAAGAUUGGUGAGAUGGGCUACAUUAGGUUUUACUUGGCACCCAAGAUUGAAGAGGACGAGGAAAUGAAGGCAUGAUUGUGUUUCAAGGAUCUGCUGAUCUUGCCUACAAUAGCUGUUAUCUGGCACCCAAGAUCGAAGACAAGGAAAUGAAGGCAUGGUUGUGUUUCAAGGAUAUUCUUAUGUUGCCUACAUUCCCCUAGUUGUUAGUCGUUAAACCGACCUCCAUUUGCUUAACGAUUGUUUGUAAGCAAAAAUGGUGUUAUGCUUGUUUUAGCUAUUUAGCUACUUGUAUCUGUGACUGUUGGUCCAUGGAUUUCCAUUGAUGAAUGUUGGUCUUUUAGCUACUUGUAUCUGACUGUUGGUCCAUGUUACACCAGUGCUGUUAUUGGUAGGCAAUGACUUGGAUUGAUUGAAUGCAUUUCUAGGUAUCGCAGAGUGUUUUGCAUCAGGUAGAUGCUGCAAUGAUUGCAACUUGCAAAAACUGUCAAAUAAUGUUACCUCCAUUGCUGGAGGCAUUGCAAGAACUCAAAAUGUCUGAAGAUGUAGGUUCCCUUACAAUUUGUUCAAACAAUAUGCAGCAUAAGGAUUUUGUUGCUACUGAAUUUGUCUUUUAGGUUAACAUUUAAGUCAUUUUCCAACCACUUAAGGUUAGUGCUUAUUUAUCAUAUAUUGUGUAUAAUAUUUGCAAAAAUCUCAUUGUGAUUGUACGUGCAUAACGAAUGCGUAUGCCUGUGUUUGUGCCAAGUACUGCUGAAGGGGCACAAUGCAAACAAGCAAAAUAUUGAACCUCCAAAUGAAACCUGAUACAGAUGUUAUUUCUUCGUAGUAUUUUCUUUAAUAAUUUGAUGCUAGAGUUCGUGUUCUAUGCUUUGUGGUUAGUUUCUCUCCCAGGCUACAUCUUUAGAGUACUUAUAAUAGAAAAUAUGGAAGUAAAUAGAACCAAUAAUUGUAGAUUGCUGUAGUCACUCCUUUGCGUCUUGUGCAGUCUCAAGAUAUUUUUAACUGAACUUUCAAAAAGACAUCUAAAAUAGUGCCAAGUUAUAACAAAAACAAAAUGCUCCCUACAUUUGAAUUGAUUGAAGUUCUAGGUUUGUCCUAAGGCAAGCUUUAUAUUUGACCAAGUCUAUUAAAAUGUUCUAAUAUAUACGACACUAAUGAGAUCUUGCUUUCUUUCUGAACACUUGCAUUACUGGUGAACUCCUUACAUUCUCUCAAGUCAGUUGAUGUCCCUUACUUUUUUUAAUAGCUAGGCAACGAUUUAGAUUUUUUAAUCAUAAAAUUCUACUGAUUGGUCUUUUAGUCGAAUGCAUUUCUAGGUAUUGUUAGUGUUUUGCAUGAGGUAGAUACUGCAAUGGUUGCAACUGCAAAAACUGUUCUAAUCAUGUUAGUCAUGAGGCUGCAAGACAGGAUGCUGUCAAUGCUGUAAUGGAAAGGAAUCACGUGGCCUUUUUGCCAUGGCACCUCCUGUGUAAACCGUUUUCAGAAGCAGCCCAGAACGGUGAGGUAGAGCACAAUGUAUAUUUUCUGAGAAUCACUUGUGUUUUCCUCCAGUUCUCUAAUUGCUGAAGGGCUUGGCUAUCUAUGUCAUCUUGUUUGCCUGUUUCCUUGUCUGUAUCCAAAAUUUAAACACGAUGAAGUAACACAUGAAGUGGCCCAUAAAUAACAUUGCGAAUAAUGUUCUGGUGUCAUGACUCAUAUCAUCAGGAUAAGUGUCCCAUCUUUAUAUUUUUAUGUGCAAUAGAUUGGUGAGGUUUGGGCAUCAACGAUGAUAGAGAAGUCAAAUCCCCCUUUUGUCAUCUAGAACUUGUGUUUCCAUCGUUAGCAACUAAUACAUGGAGUCAUGGAUUACUCCUGACUUCCUUUUGGGUACAUUGUUUAAAAUGGACAAAUUUGAGCACGGUGUUCUGCUAGCAAUUAAUAAUCACCGACCCUGAGCCCAUACCAUGAGUUUAGGGCUUAAGGCUAGCAAUAACUAUAUGACAAACAAACCAAAUUCUGAGUUGUAUACCAAUAUGUUUGCCUUAUCAUGUCAUGUAUGAAACCCAUUCUCUUUACAUCCCAGUUUGAAGUGGCAGAAGGCCCUCUUGUGGGUGAGCACACGAAUAGGUGCCUGAAGAAAUACUGUGAGUGCUUUCAAUCUAAUAUUCCCUGUUCAGAGAAUUGCAAAUGUAUGGAUUGCAAGAACUAUGAGAUCAGUGAAGAUAGGAAAGUAAUACGCCGUAUCACCCAGCGGCACCUUUGUCUAUGCACAUCAGAUGCAGAAUCCUGCUAUAAUGGGUAUUACUGGGCCAUCUGUGGCUCUUUCUCAUGCAGCAGGAGAGCUCUCCAAUCUCUCAGUGGCUUCAUUAGGCAGAGAUCAGCUUAUCAGUAAAAAGGAUUGUUCACAAGUAAUUCUUUUACAGGAUCCCUUUUAUAAUAUUCAUUUUUUUCGAAAUAGCUUUCAUAAUAUUCAUGACUUCUGCUUUGGUCAUGUGGACUUGGAAAAUAAUUAAGGUAUACACUAAAGCAGCCAAGAACAUCUGGUGUCUGAUGGAUAGCUGACUGAAUAUUUAUGAUUAGUAGCUCAAAUGCUAGAACGUACCGUUCAGUUAAAACAAAAGGUAAACAAAGUUGAAAUUCUGGUUAUUAACAUAUACUUUUGUUUUUUUCCUGUGUCAGGUGACUUCGUCUCUGCUCACUCUUGUUCCUAUAGAAGGCACUCAAAGUACUGUCAAAUUAGGGCCGCAAGGAGUUACUUAUACGUGACAUUUUGCCCAUGAUUAUAGCUGAUUUCUCAUCCGAGCUCAUUUAAUUGUGUUGUCUGAUAUAUUUCUUAUCUUCCUCAAGGCCACUUUUAACUGAUACUCCCUCCGUUCACAAAUAUAAGAUGUUUUGCAUAUUUCUAUAUGGACUACGUACGGACCGAAAUGAGUGAAUAAACACACUAAAAAUGUCUAUAUACAUCUGAUUUAGGAAAAAGUUAAAACAUCUUAUAUUUAUGACCGGAGGGAGUAUUAUCCAGAUAGAGAAUGUCAAUGAGCUCUGUAAAGUAUUGGUUCUAGUAUCAAGGCAAGCUGCCGGAGCAUCUGCAGGUAUUGUUUUUCUCUGCAGAAGAAUAAUCAUAACUAUGAUUCUAAUAUGUGACUCGUUAUGCUAUUUUUUUUCUGUUUGCUAUCAUCUUCUGUUCAUUGUUGAUUUGCCAUCAAACUAUUAGGAAGUACAGCGUAGAAUACAGAGACCUUGUCACAUACUCGCAUUCAGUUCAAAGGGAUUUCUUUGUUAUCCCACCUAAAGAAAAUUUGCACAUACCUUAAAAGUAGAACUCACUAUCUGACAAUAGGUGCAAAUCUUCUCAAUUAGUACCAAGUGCUUGCAAGUUGCUGAGGAGAAGCUUUCGAUGUUUGCUUCUGUUUUGGAUGAGAACUCGCACGUGCAGAACUUUUAUUGCUAGUGGUGUAUUUCAUUGAAGGAUUUAAUGGCGAAACAUGCAUAUAUGAAUUUACAUCUUAUCACGGUGUAUAUGCUCUCUGAAUCUCACUACCGUUUCAUAUCCAGGUGUUAAGGAGAACACAACAGAAGAAAAUUAGAUCGAUCAGGGAGUUGCCUUUCUUCCACAAACAUAUGACGUGGAAGCAAUUCAGAAACAACAUGAUAAACAAUUGUGCUCAACAGAAAAAAGUUUAACCGCAGUUCUUGCAAUUCCCCCAGCCACCAUGAAGAAAUUGCCAGACACUUACAAAGAGCAAGAGAAGCGUAUUCUGAAGAUUCUGCAUGACUAUCUUCGUGAGCUUGUGAACCACGGAAGACUUCAUGGUAAGUGUUAGCAGGUCAUCAAGUUCUGUAGAUACAGUACAAUAGCAGCCAUUAUCCAAAUAAGAGACCCUGAAACCAUCUGGUAGAGUGAAUUGCAAAAAACCACCACAUUUGGGGCAUCGUUUGCGGAAAACCAUCAGGUCACUAAUUUUUUGUAAAAAUCACCGCGGAUUCAGUAAAUAUUUUGUAAAUAGCACUGAUCAGGUGAUUUGGCUCAUUUGAUCACUUUCUGACAAAUGGGACCAGAUUGUAAGGAGCUGACUUGGCAAAGUUUUAACAGACACACUCCUGAAUUAUAAAAAGAAAAAGCAAUCAGACCCUCCUCCCCCCUGCCUCGAUCCCGUCUGGAUCGGGAGAGGCCACGAGCUGCCCAACCCCCGCGCCACUCCGGCGACCUCGCCGCAGCGCCACGCGACCCCGCCACCGUGCCGGCCGGCCCCAAGCCGCUACGAUCGCGGCCCCACCCCUCGCGCCGACCGGCGCCAAGCGGCUACGACCCUGGCCCCUGCCCCGCGCGGGCCGGCCCCAAGCUGCUACGACCCCGACCCCGCUCCUCUCCUGGGUAGCAAGCACGGCGGCCCCAAGCCGCACGGCGAUGCAUCCCUUUCUCCUUCCUCCCUCCUCUCUCUUUCCCCAGCCGGCGGCGCGGCGGCGUGCAACACGGACGCAUCACCGGAGCAAGCAGCGACCAACGACGGUGAGCUCCUCCGCUGCCUGUGCGUGGCGUGGACAGCAGCGCAUGAGCGCGAGGCCAUGGCCGAGCAACCGCCCCGCUCCAAUCGCGCGGCGGCGCACGGGCCCGACCCGGCCGGCACCGUCGAGGAGCUCUCCGCAGGGACCUCCUCCACUGCGCGGCCGUCUCGCCGGGGAACGCCUCCUCCUCUCCUCUCUCUGGCAGUUGUGCAAAAGAGGGGUUGAUUGCUUUUUCUUUUUAGAUCUAAGGGUGUGUAUGUAAAUGUUAUGCCAAGUCAGCUCCUUACAAUCUGGUCCCACUUGUCAGAAAGUGAUCAAAUGAGCCAAAUCACCUGAUCAGUGCGAUUUACAAAAUGUUUACCGAAUCUGCGGUGAUUUUUGCAAAAAAUUAGUGACCUGGUGGUUUUCCGCAGAUGAAGCCCUAAAUGUGGUGGUUUUUUGCAAUUCACUCAUCUAAACCUGUAGUUAUUAUCUGGCUCUUUGUAUUUGUUCGUUAUCAGCACUGCUGCAAGUAAGUAUCCCAUAUUUAACAGCUCUUGGUUUCUGCAGAAGAGAAGCUCUCUUCAAUGUCAUCGCAGUUCCACGAGCGAACCUCUGUCGGCAGCAGUUGCAGCUCGUCCAUAUCAAGGGUCGCAGAGGUUACCAGGAUCAGAUUAACAAUCCGACAAGCGCUCCAUUCUCCAGCAAGUAUCAAACACCAGGUCAGCAGUCAAUGCAUACGUCUCAAUCCAAUAACUGAACUGAGAUGAGCAGCCCAGUGCCAUGAGCAUAAUGCUGCAGCCAAAAUGAUGAUUUAAUUUUCUGCACAAAAAGGCCGCCGGCAUGGCAUAGCAAACCUUCAGUGCUCCCACAGAACCUGAUUUAUGGAUUUGGUUUGAGCAUGGCUCGGUUCUUAUGCUAACUUUCUGUUACUACUCGUCCAUGAAUUGCCGUUUUCUAACCAAAUUACACUGUUUGCAUAUAUCUUUUGACGUAUAUAUGUGAUCAUGCGAGGGUCUGUAAAUUCUUGUUUGGGCAGUAACCUGCCCCGGCCCGUGACCCAUAGGUAGACCACCCCGUUGCGAUUAGGACUCAUGGAGGAGCGCGAGCGAGCCGGAGAUCAAUUGCGCGCCGCCACACGAGUCUGACACGGAAGCCGUGUCCGGCCAGAGCCGGAGAUCAACUACUUACCCAAGCACCGCAUAUCCGAUCGACCUCUCGUCAUCGUUCCUCGACACCAUGGCCCAAGGCCAAGAAAGCAAGUGCACGAGAUGGACGAUAGGCGUGACAACGAUAGUUUUCUUUAUAGGUAUUUUUGCUCCUCUUGCGUGGUACGCCGAGAGGCCAGCUGACACCACGUACGAGGUGACCAUCACCAGCGUCGGCGGCCUGGACCCGGCCCUGGAUCUCCACGGCGACCGGCAGGCGCUCAGCCUGGUGUUCGGCCUCACCGUGCGCGUCGACAGCACCCACAACAAGCUCUUCAACAGGCGCAUCGGCGGCGCCGGCUCCUCCGUGGUGGUGUACGGGGACGCGCUGCUCGCCAAGGGCGCCGUGCCGGAGCUCUGCGUGAAAACAUCAGGGGUGGGAGAGGUCGCGGCCGAUGCGUGGGGCUUGAACGUGCAGGUGCCUCAAUUCCUGCGGGACCGGCUGGCCGGCGAGCUAGAGAGCGGCCAGGCGGUGGUGGACGUGGCGGUGCGGACUCCCGCGGGGUGCUACAUAAACGGGUGUUUCGACGCGGUGCUCGUCUGCAAGGCCAGGAUCCAGGGGGGUUCUUCUCCGUGUUUCUCUAUGUAGAGACUUAUCAGCGGCACGGGCGCAAAACAGAUAGUUUAGAGCGUUUUUUUUGCAGUUUAUUUUAUUUUUGCUUAGGAUAGCAUGAAGGAAUUUUUGUUUUCAAUCAAGCGCCAUCUUUUGUAGUGGAUCCAAAUUUUGUAUUCUCUAUCAAGAACUGUGUUUAAUAGUUGAUCUGAAUUUUGUAUUUGCAAUCAAGAACUGUAUCUUAUAGUGGAUCUGGAUUUUAUUCUUUCAGUCAAGAGCUAUGUAUAUAUUAUACUUGCCUGCAAAAAACUUAUAGUAUUAUACUACCUGCAAAAAAA